CCUACGGGGGGCUGCAGUAGGGAAUCUUCCGCAAUGGACGAAAGUCUGACGGAGCAACGCCGCGUGAGUGAUGAAGGCUUUCGGGUCGUAAAACUCUGUUGUUAGGGAAGAACAAGUGCUAGUUGAAUAAGCUGGCACCUUGACGGUACCUAACCAGAAAGCCACGGCUAACUACGUGCCAGCAGCCGCGGUAAUACGUAGGUGGCAAGCGUUAUCCGGAAUUAUUGGGCGUAAAGCGCGCGCAGGUGGUUUCUUAAGUCUGAUGUGAAAGCCCACGGCUCAACCGUGGAGGGUCAUUGGA
rnacentral:rRNA from 1 species